GUGAAAACAUUCUAAAAUGUUGGGUCCCCAUUAGCGAGUAAGCGCCUCCACACUGGGAAACGGAACAUGCACGUGUCCCAUUUGCUUUGUGGGCAUGGUGUGGGAGCUUCUCACGCAUCCUUUGUGAGAGCCCAGGCAGAAAUGAGCCCUGGAGAAAACCCAGUCCAACCAGAGUGUAUGCCCGCUGCAGUGGCAGGAAACUUCAGGCUGUGCGAGGCAAUCUGGCCUGUGGACUCCGGCCCUUCCCGGCUUGCCUGGAGCCAGGCCCUCUUGGGAAGGCCGAACUUUCCCUUUCAUCCGAAGGAGGCAGAUCAGGCCGGGAGACAGAGACCAGGCCUGGUCCCCAGGGAAACCCGGCCAGCUCUCCUUCAGGAAGCCUCUGGGUGCCUCCCACCCAGCUGGACCUGGGUGCGGGAGAGCUAGGAAAUAAACUGAGAGAGACAUGAGCCUGGAGAUGUGCCAGCGAUGUUCGUAGGUUGACCUUGGGACAAGGAUCCAGGCCACCAAUGCCAUGGGCACAGAGGCCUGCAGUGAUGCCCAUGCCUGGUGGGUCCUGUUGGUGUUGGGGAGACUGCCACAGGAUGCCUGGGAGAGCUGGGACAAUGCUGGGCUCCACAUCAGUGCGUUCCCCAAAGCCGAUCCCAACUGGGGAGCAGUGGACCACCGAGAGGAAUGUCCCAGGUCCAGCCUGCACUGCAAGCCUAAGGGCUUUUCUCUGGACCCACUUUUGUGGCCAGUGGGAGGCAGAAGGUCCCAAACUCGGAGUCUCUCCUCUGGCUUCGAACCUGCUCCUGGUUUCACGGCCAGGCAGGGCAGCGCAGCACUGUCCGCAGCCCCGCAGCCUGAUGCUGCUACAGCCCCAGCUCUUCAGCAAAGGGGCCUCUGGCCUAAGCCCGUCCUCUUUAUCUGGAUUUUAUAGACAGAAGUUACUUUGGGACAUUAAUUGCCGGGACGAGUUUAUUGAUAAUUUUGAUGUAACAGAGCACCAGGAGAAAUUACCCUCCCGUCCAGAAUGUCAAACUGAGAAGAAGCAGGUUCUGAAACUCGACCCCAGCGCUCACUGCGGUGGGUCAGCACACACGGCGGGGCAUCAACAACGUGGCUUACUGUGUCUGUUUUCCUAGGUGAGUGGAUGGUGAUCGAGUCAAGGGAGACCCAACCUUAGCAGUUUGUUGUUUCCAGAAAGAGGCAGGACAACGCUAUACAGAGAAAAUAUGUUAGAGGCACAAACGUGGGCCCUGGGUGCCCAAGCGUCCCUUCCUCGCGGGAUUUUACACAGCCUAUUGGGAAAGAACAAGAUUCAGGUGUUAAAAAAAAUAGAAAAAUAAGACAAAAAAGAAAACUUUGAAGUCACCUCAUUAUAACAGUUUAGGGUAGGCCAAGGCAGAUGUCUGGGAUAAAACUCCCAUUGAGUUUUGGCAAAAAAUAUUAUAUAUAAACAUACACAUAUACAUAUAGAUUGUGUGUGCGCACACAAAUUCUUGGUUUUCCCUGGUAUGUAAGACUACAGUUUUGUUUUUUUUUUUUUAAUCUUUGAUUAUUUCUUUAGAUUGAGAAAUGACAUUUCGAGGGACAGAGGACUCUUCUUAAAAAGCCCGAAGCCAAGAAAAAUAGCUACCUUUAUACAGAUUUUUCUUCGGAAAAAAAUACACAAGCAGAUCACCCGCAGAUUGUCCUUUUAUACAGCGCAGAAGGAAAUUUAAAGUAUGUGUCACAAAGACUGCACCUCUGCAGCCGGAAUACUAAAAGGAGACAGCCUUUCAUAUUAGACAUAUUUAUAUAAAACAUAUGGAAAUUUGUUUUUACACGGAUCGGUCUUUGUUCAAAUUUACAAUGGAUAGCUAAAAAAAAAAAAAAAACACUCUACACGGCAAAUAUUGCCAACAAAGUUACACCAUUAAUACUGAUAAACAGAGGAGCUACGUGGUGUUUUGAUUAUUGGGGGGCGGGGGAACCAGAAUAAAUAAUGGGAUGAGCCUGCCUACGGUCCUCAAAGUGCCUUAACCGCAUUGCCCGGCAAGCAUUGCCCGGCACCGGCCUUCACGUCCAGGCAUCUCGCUCGCCUUCCGGAAAGUUUCCAGUAGAGAUUGGAAGACAGAAAAACACUCACUGUAAAAGUCAAGAUGUAACUGAAAACGAAACUCAAGGAGAAGGACAGUGCGGGGGGGACAGAGGCCCGGGACAACCGGCCCAUUCUUGGCUCCUGUUUUCUUUUUAAAAGACAAACAGCGGCUUCAGAUUUGCACAUUAUUCGCACAGAUCCACCUGUAAUUACUGGCGAAGCCCCGGGUGGGGAGACGGGAUGCCACUC